UUCAUAUAAAUUGGCCGUCACUAAAAGAUGAGCUUCUUCUUCUUCGCUGAAGCCGAAUCCUAGGGUUUUCUCUGCACACAACUCGCUCCAAUGGGAAAGGGAACAGGAAGUUUCGGUAAGAGGAGGAACAAGUCUCACACUCUGUGUGUGAGAUGUGGUCGUCGUAGUUUCCACAUCCAGAAGAGUCGUUGCUCGGCUUGUGCUU